UACGUAGGGUGCAAGCGUUGUCCGGAAUUAUUGGGCGUAAAGAGCUCGUAGGCGGUCUGGCACGUCGGCUGUGAAAACCCGAGGCUCAACCUCGGGCCUGCAGUCGAUACGGGCAAACUAGAGUGUUGCAGGGGAGACUGGAAUUCCUGGUGUAGCGGUGAAAUGCGCAGAUAUCAGGAGGAACACCGGUGGCGAAGGCGGGUCUCUGGGCAACAACUGACGCUGAGGAGCGAAAGCGUGGGGAGCGAACAGG
rnacentral:rRNA from 1 species